rnacentral:rRNA from 1 species
UACGGGGGGGGCAAGCGUUGUUCGGAAUUACUGGGCGUAAAGGGCGCGUAGGCGGUUCGAUAAGUCAGCUGUGAAAACCAUGGGCUUAACUCAUGGCCUGCAGUUGAGACUGUCGGGCUGGAGUGUGGGAGAGGAGAGUGGAAUUCCUGGUGUAGCGGUGAAAUGCGCAGAUAUCAGGAGGAACACCGGUGGCGAAGGCGGGUCUCUGGGCCGAUACUGACGCUGAGGAGCGAAAGCGUGGGGAGCGAACAGG